UACGAAGGGGGCUAGCGUUGUUCGGAAUUACUGGGCGUAAAGCGCACGUAGGCGGCUUUGCAAGUUAGAGGUGAAAGCCCGGGGCUCAACUCCGGAAUUGCCUUUAAAACUGCAUCGCUAGAGUUGUGGAGAGGUAAGUGGAAUUCCGAGUGUAGAGGUGAAAUUCGUAGAUAUUCGGAAGAACACCAGUGGCGAAGGCGACUUACUGGACACAUACUGACGCUGAGGUGCGAAAGCGUGGGGAGCAAACAGG
rnacentral:rRNA from 1 species